GGGCCCGUAGCUCAGCUGGUUAGAGCGCUACGUUGACAUCGUAGAGGUCGUCCGUUCGAGUCGGAUCGGGCCCA
rfam:Bacterium CG2_30_37_16 isolate CG2_30_37_16 cg2_3.0_scaffold_426_c, whole genome shotgun sequence.